GACGAACGCUGGCGGCGCGCUUAACACAUGCAAGUCGAGCGAGAACCAGGCCUUCGGGCCUGGGGACAGCGGCGAACGGGUGAGUAACACGUGGGUAAUCAACCCUCGGUACUGGGAUAGCCUGGGGAAACCCGGAUUAAUACCGGAUGGCCCUUCGGAUCCUCGGAUCUGAAGGAAAAGGUAGCUUCGGCCUCCGACCGAGGACGAGCCCGCGGCGGAUUAGCUUGUUGGUGGGGUAACGGCCUACCAAGGCGGCGAUCCGUAGCUGGUCUGAGAGGACGAUCAGCCACACUGGGACUGAGACACGGCCCAGACCCCUACGGGAGGCAGCAGUGGGGAAUCUUGCGCUAAUGCGGGAAACCGUGACGCAGCGACGCCGCGUGAGGGAAGAAGGCCUUCGGGUUGUAAAGCUCUUUCGGCCGGGAAGAAAUCGCACGGGCUAAUACCCUGUGUGGAUGACGGUACCGGAAUAAGAAGCACCGGCUAACUACGUGCCAGCAGCCGCCGUAACAC
rnacentral:rRNA from 1 species